rnacentral:rRNA from 1 species
AUAAUAAUUAGGUUUUUAAUUGAAAUCUAGAAUGAAUGAUUGGACGAGAUACAGGCUGUUUUAUAAUAAUUAAUUAAAACUUAAUUUUUUAGUCAAAAAGCUAAAAUUUUAUUAAAAGACGAGAAGACCCUAUAAAUCUUUAUAAUAAAUUUAUUUUAAUAAAUUAUUUUAUUUAAAUUAAUAGUUUUAAUAAUAAAUUAUUUUAUUGGGGUGAUACAAAAAUUUGAUAAACUUUUUUAUUAAUAUUACUUAAAUUAAAGAUUUAUAAAAAUAUGAUCUACUAUUAGUAAUUCAAAGAAUAAGAUACUUUAGGGAUAACAGCGUAAUUUUAAUUUUAAGUUCUCAUUAAAAUUAGAGAUUGC